rnacentral:rRNA from 1 species
UACGGAGGGGGCUAGCGUUGUUCGGAAUUACUGGGCGUAAAGCGUGCGUAGGUGGUUUGUUAAGUCUGUUGUGAAAGCCCCGGGCUCAACCUGGGAAUGGCAAUGGAUACUGGCAAGCUAGAGUGCGGUAGAGGGUAGUGGAAUUCCCGGUGUAGCGGUGAAAUGCGUAGAUAUCGUAAGGAAGACCAGUGGCGAAGGCGGGUCUCUGGACAGUUCCUGACGCUGAGGCACGAAGGUCAGGGGAGCAAACGGG